rnacentral:rRNA from 1 species
AUACGUAGGGUGCGAGCGUUAAUCGGAAUUACUGGGCGUAAAGCGUGCGCAGGCGGUUUUGUAAGACAGUGGUGAAAUCCCCGGGCUCAACCUGGGAACUGCCCUUGUGACUGCAAGGCUGGAGUGCGGCAGAGGGGGAUGGAAUUCCGCGUGUAGCAGUGAAAUGCGUAGAUAUGCGGAGGAACACCGAUGGCGAAGGCAAUCCCCUGGGCCUGCACUGACGCUCAUGCACGAAAGCGUGGGGAGCAAACAGGAUUAGAUACCCUGGUAGUCCACGCCCUAAACGAUGUCAACUGGUUGUUGGGGAUUUAUUUUCUCAGUAACGAAGCUAACGCGUGAAGUUGACCGCCUGGGGAGUACGGCCGCAAGGUUAAAACUCAAAGGAAUUGACGGGG